GAUGAACGCUGGCGGCGUGCCUAAUACAUGCAAGUCGAGCGAACAGAUGAGGAGCUUGCUCCUCUGACGUUAGCGGCGGACGGGUGAGUAACACGUGGAUAACCUACCUAUAAGACUGGGAUAACUUCGGGAAACCGGAGCUAAUACCGGAUAAUAUAUUGAACCGCAUGGUCCAAUAGUGAAAGACGGUUUUGCUGUCACUUAUAGAUGGAUCCGCGCCGCAUUAGCUAGUUGGUAAGGUAACGGCUUACCAAGGCAACGAUGCGUAGCCGACCUGAGAGGGUGAUCGGCCACACUGGAACUGAGACACGGUCCAGACUCCUACGGGAGGCAGCAGUAGGGAAUCUUCCGCAAUGGGCGAAAGCCUGACGGAGCAACGCCGCGUGAGUGAUGAAGGUCUUCGGAUCGUAAAACUCUGUUAUUAGGGAAGAACAAAUGUGUAAGUAACUAUGCACGUCUUGACGGUACCUAAUCAGAAAGCCACGGCUAACUACGUG
rnacentral:rRNA from 1 species